UACGUAGGGGGCAAGCGUUGUCCGGAUUUAUUGGGCGUAAAGAGCGUGUAGGCGGCCUGGUAGGUCAGCUGUGAAAACUCGAGGCUCAACCUCGAGACGCCGGUUGAAACCAUCAGGCUAGAGUCCGGAAGAGGAGAGUGGAAUUCCCGGUGUAGUGGUGAAAUGCGCAGAUAUCGGGAAGAACACCCGUGGCUAAGGCGGCUCUCUAGUACGGUACUGACGCUGAGACGCGAAAGCGUGGGGAGCGAACAGG
rnacentral:rRNA from 1 species